rnacentral:pre_miRNA from 1 species
UGUUGAAGGUUUCAUCCAUUUAUACUGUUAAACUAGCGUGGUUGACGAAAUAAUCGGAUGGUUACACGUAAAGGGUCAUAUGUACCUUAUACUAACCUGCAGAGACUAGUUUUUAACAAGAGAAAUGGAUGAAAUUUUUAAUA